CCCUAUGGGGUGCAGCAGGCGAGAAAACUUUGCAAUGUGCGAAAGCACGACAAGGUUAAUCCGAGUGUUUUCUGCUAAAGAAAUCUUUUGUCAGUCCUAAAAACACUGAUGAAUAAGGGGUGGGCAAGUUCUGGUGUCAGCCGCCGCGGUAAAACCAGCACCUCAAGUGGUCAGGAGGAUUAUUGGGCCUAAAGCAUCCGUAGCCUGCUUUGUAAGUUUUCGGUUAAAUCCAUGUGCUCAACAUAUGGGCUGCCGGGAAUACUGCACAGCUAGGGAGUGGGAGAGGUAGACGGUACUCGGUAGGAAGGGGUAAAAUCCUUUGAUCUAUUGAUGACCACCUGUGGCGAAGGCGGUCUACCAGAACACGUCCGACGGUGAGGGAUGAAAGCUGGGGGAGCAAACCGGAUUAGAUACCCGGGUAGUCCCAGCUGUAAACUAUGCAAACUCAGUGAUGCGUUGGCUUGUAGCCAGUGCAGUGCCGCAGGGAAGCCGUUAAGUUUGCCGCCUGGGAAGUACGUACGCAAGUAUGAAACUUAAAGGAAUUGGCGGGGGAGCACCACAAGGGGUGAAGCCUGCGGUUCAAUUGGAGUCAGCGCCAGAAAUCUUACCCGGAGAGACAGCAGAAUGAAGGUCAAGCUGAAGACUUUACCAGACAAGCUGAGAAGAGGUGCAUGGCC
rnacentral:rRNA from 1 species